GAUGAACGCUGACAGAAUGCUUAACACAUGCAAGUCUUUGGCGAAGCUGUGCUUGCACAGCCUAGCCAAGGCGGACGGGUGAGUAACGCGUAAGGAACUUGCCCUGCAGUCAGGGAUAACAGACGGAAACGACUGAUAAGACCUGGUAAAGUCAGGCGGACUCAUGUCCAGCCUGAUGAAAAGAGAUGCUGCAGGAGAGCCUUGCGUCCUAUUAGCUUGUUGGUGGGGUAACGGCCCACCAAGGCGAUGAUAGGUAGCCGGCCUGAGAGGGUGGACGGCCACAAGGGGACUGAGAUACGGCCCUUACUCCUACGGGAGGCGGCAGUGGGGAAUAUUGGACAAUGGGGGCAACCCUGAUCCAGCAAUUCUGUGUGCACGAUGAAGGUUUUCGGAUUGUAAAGUGCUUUCAGCAGGGAAGAAAAAAAUGACGGUACCUGAAGAAGAAGCGACGGCUAAAUACGUG
rnacentral:rRNA from 1 species